AUGUAUUAUAAUUAAUACAAUAACGAUUAAUUCGUAUAAAAUUCUAAAUAGGAUAAUGAUAAUGACAAUUUCCUAUUUAUAAGUCUUGACCAAAUUACGUGCCAGCAGUCGCGGUAAUACGUAGAAGACUAGUGUUAGUCAUCUUUAUUAGGUUUAAAGGGUACCUAGACGGUAAAUAACACUUAAAUAGAGUAUUUAUUUACUAGAGUUUUAUAAGAGAAGGAAGAACUUCUGGAGUAGUGAUAAAAUAUGUUGAUACCAGAGGGACUGGUAACGGCGAAGGCAUCCUUCUAUGUAAAAACUGACGUUGAGGGACGAAGGCUUGGGUAGCAAUAAGGAUUAGAUACCCUAGUAGUCCAAGCAGAAAAUGAUGAAUGUCAUAGACUAGAUAAAAAUUUAGUCUAUAAAUGAAAGUGUAAGCAUUCCACCUCAAGAGUACUAUGGCAACAUAUAAACUGAAAUCAUUAG
rnacentral:rRNA from 1 species